CCUACGGGAGGCAGCAGUGAGGAAUAUUGCUCAAUGGACGAGAGUCUGAACCAGCCAAGUAGCGUGAAGGAUGACUGCCCUAUGGGUUGUAAACUUCUUUUAUAAAGGAGUUAAACGCGGCACUUGUGCCUUUUUGCAUGUACUUUAUGAAUAAAGAUCGGCUAACUCCGUGCCAGCAGCUGCGGUAAUGCGGAGGAUCCGAGCGUUAUCCGGAUUUAUUGGGUUUAAAGGGAGCGUAGAUGGGUUGUUAAGUCAGUUGUGAAAGUGUGCGGCUCAACCGUAAAAUUGCAAUUGAUACUGGCAGUCUUGAGUACAGUUGAGGUAGGCGGAAUUCGUGGUGUAGCGGUGAAAUGCUUAGAUAUCACGAAGAACCCCGAUUGCGAAGGCAGCUUACUAAACUGUGACUGACAUUGAUGCUCGAAAGUGUGGGUAGCAAACAGGAUUAGAUACCCGGGUAGUC
rnacentral:rRNA from 1 species